GCGGCAAACGGGUGAGUAAUAUCUGGGAAUCUACCCAAAAGAGGGGGAUAACUACUAGAAAUGGUAGCUAAUACCGCAUAAAGUUGAAAAACCAAAGUGGGGGACCUUAAAAGGCCUCAUGCUUUUGGAUGAGCCCAGAAGAGAUUAGCUUGUUGGUAAGGUAAAAGCUUACCAAGGCAACGAUCUCUAGCUGGUCUGAGAGGAUAACCAGCCACACUGGAACUGAGACACGGUCCAGACUCCUACGGGAGGCAGCAGUGGGGAAUAUUGCACAAUGGGCGAAAGCCUGAUGCAGCUAUGCCGCGUGUAUGAAGAAGGCCUUAGGGUUGUAAAGUACUUUCAGCGGGGAGGAAAAAAAUAAAACUAAUAAUUUUAU
rnacentral:rRNA from 1 species